GACAGAGGGUGCAAACGUUGUUCGGAAUUACUGGGCGUAAAGCGCGUGUAGGCUGCUCGGAAAGUCGGAUGUGAAAGCCCUGGGCUCAACCUAGGAAGUGCAUUCGAAACUUCCGAGCUGGAGUACUGGAGAGGAAGGCGGAAUUCUCGGUGUAGAGGUGAAAUUCGUAGAUAUCAAGCGGAACACCGGUGGCGAAGGCGGCAUCCUGGACCAACACUGACACUGAUGAGCGAAAGCCAGGGGAGCAAACGGG
rnacentral:rRNA from 1 species